rnacentral:rRNA from 1 species
GACGAACGCUGGCGGCGUGCUUAACACAUGCAAGUCGAACGGAAAGGCCCUGCUUGCAGGGUACUCGAGUGGCGAACGGGUGAGUAACACGUGGGUGAUCUGCCCUGCACUUCGGGAUAAGCCUGGGAAACUGGGUCUAAUACCGGAUAGGAGCCAUUUUUAGUGUGAUGGUUGGAAAGUUUUUUCGGUGUAGGAUGAGCUCGCGGCCUAUCAGCUUGUUGGUGGGGUAAUGGCCUACCAAGGCGGCGACGGGUAGCCGGCCUGAGAGGGUGGACGGCCACAUUGGGACUGAGAUACGGCACAGACUCCUACGGGAGGCAGCAGGGGGGAAUAUUGCACAAUGGGCGCAAGCCGGAUGCAGCGACGCCGCGUGGGGGAUGACGGCCUUCGUGUUGUAAACUCCUUUCGAUAGGGACGAAGCUUUUUGUGACGUUACCUAGAUAAGAAGCACCGGCUAACUACGUG